rnacentral:rRNA from 1 species
AACCGUAUAGGGGAGCCGAAGGGAAACCGAGUCUUAACUGGGCGUUAAGUUGCAGGGUAUAGACCCGACACCCGGUGAUCUAGCCAUGGGCAGGUUGAAGGUUGGGUAACACUAACUGGAGGACCGAACCGACUACUGUUGAAAAAUUAGCGGAUGACUUGUGGCUGGGGGUGAAAGGCAGGUAUUUAUCCCCAUGG